UCAAGACGCAUCGAGUCGGUUGCAUCUCAAAAAGAGGUACAAAUAUAUAUACCCAUUGAAUUAUAUACGCAACGAUUCUGUUGCAUCACAAAAAGUCAUGAUUUAAUUUAUAUGAAUUUUUAGGUUCCCGGUCGAAUGUUGAAAAAAGCUGGUAAGGAUAUUCCAACGAAGUCCGGGACAAAAACAAAUCCUAAAUCUCAAAAAGAGGUUCCCGGUCGAAUGUUGAAAAAAGCUGGUAAGGAUAUUCCAACGAAGUCCGGGACAAAAACAAA